rnacentral:lncRNA from 1 species
UGAGUAAGAGUGGUAUUAGAUCAUUGCCAUUCAUCUUUAAAAGUGUUUCUGCUGUUUUGAGCAAAUUUCAAAUACUGUUUNUAAGUCAUUUGAGUGGUUUCCAGUUCAGAAUUCAAGCCAUUGUGUAUUUUGACCAUUUGAGUUGAGAAAUUGAGUUGACAAUGGAACUGCACUAGUCAUUUUCUGGUAUAUGCUGUUUUUGACCAUUAACUUCGAUUCAAACAGUAUAGAAUCACUAUUGGCACAUGUUUGAAUCAUUGCAUUAAGUAACUAGUCAGUUCUAUACAUUUGGUAUUUGGUACUAGCCAAUUUGUGCUUUCAAACUGUUGUGUC